CUGUUACGACCGCAAGUUCGCGUACUCAGAUUCUGUUGUCGCUGGAUCAUGUUGUAUGAGUUUUACGGAGUCUCUCUUCUUCUCUUUAGACUGGCAAUAGUAUCUCCACUUGGGGUCUCCUCCCAUAGACUAGCGCAUGCCUCAACAGGACAAGCAAAACGGGAAGUGACGAAGGAGAUCGAUGCCAAAUUGACUUGUUCAAAGAUCUACUGCAUCACAAGCUGUGAUUAUACUUCAGGAAGUUCCGUGUUCUAUGAGUCUUCCUACUAGCAACCUCACCAAGGAACCAUUCUUGCACAGUUGUGGUUUCGGACUAAAGGACUUACAAUUGCAAAUGACAGCAUUUGCUCUUGUUCCAAACUCAAGAAGAAACAAACUUUAAUUAGUUUGUCAUUUAUUCCAAGUAAGCAACUUACACGAAGAGAUCAAUAAUUGAGGUAUCCACCUCUAGCAGAUAAGUUACGUACAGCCCUGACAGUGUACAUUCAUCUACUUGUAUCUGCUAUUUUGUUCAAUGUAGGCAAGAUUAUCACUUACUUAGUUGGUACCUUCAAUGUUUCCGUAUAAUCUGCCGAGUUUUCUGACUUGGCACCUGUCACUCUCUUCAAAACUCUCAAAGAAUGUCGAGGCAAUCAAACUUCCCAGUGGUAUUGUCCAAUGAUUGGAGGAAGAAAAGUGCUCACUAGUGAAACAUACAAUCUAGGAGAUCCUUAUGAUAUUGAAUUUCAGCUUGAUUUGCAGAUGAAUUUCGUUUUAAAGGCCUUUGAUCAGAAUGAAGAUCAUAUUUGCUUGAAGGGAGAACCGGUGUAGAGCUAUAGUCACUAACAGCUAGAACUCUGAAGGUGUGAAGGACAUGGAGGAAACAGUAUUGACAUUAAUAGUGAUAGCUGUAGUUUUAUUGUCUAGCUAGAAAAGAACUAUCACAAUCAUAGAAAACCUAGUCGCAGCUCUCUAGACUUCAUUGAGUUAUACCCUUUAUAUUUAAUUAAUUAAAAGACUGAGUAUGCGAUAUAUCUUUAGUAUAUUUCAAAGCACAUUGUAAUAAAUGACCUCCUAAAUGUCUCUAGUUGUCUGUUAGUGUAUGUUUUGUAUGUUUGUUUAUCUAGUUCUCUAUCUAUCUGUCUAUCUGUCUGUUUUCUUUCUGUCUUAAAUAAUUUUCAA